GCGUUUUAACAUUUUACCUUUUGUCUUUCCAACAUCUAAAAAAUUGUGUUCCACGUUUCUUAAUCCAAAAGACACAACAAAUGAGUAAGCUUUUCCUCUUUCUUUCUUUACAAUUCAGUUAAAUGUUUUUUAAGUUUCAAUCCUCUGCAUCUUCUCGGCUGGCUAUUCUAAUUUCAGAAGUUAUUCUUCCAGUCUGAUUUUAAUUUAUGGGGUAGAAGACGAGCCCAGAUCUGCUUAAAUUGAGUGGAAGAUAGACAAGAAGUUUGGAGGUGCACACCUUUUCGUCAUGGAAUACUGCCUUGCAGGGGAUAUCCACACUCUUAGACUGAGAAAGUUGUUUACCCCGAAUUUAGGUAGCUUCACUGUGAGGCAAGAGGAUGCACGAGCUACUAGAAGAAGAGCUGAUUCUGUGAUAAAACAUAUCAUUCAGGACUAUGGUAUAUGAAGGUCACAUAUAUGACAGUUUUUGAAGCGAACUGAACCUCAAACUGCUAUCUGCCUCACUCCACUGUCUUUUUGAAAAGUUGGAUUACAUAAAAACAAGAAUCUAGACGACACACGAUGCUUUGAAAAGGUAUUUUGUCAACCACGGCGUCACCAGCUACAAUGGUAACUGCAAAGAACAAGAGACUGCCAAUGGCAUAGUAGCCGGUGCAUUACUAUUUUGCCUUUUGCCAAUACCAGUUUCGGUCAAUAUGUAAAAAAUGUGCAUAUAUACAUAAACAGUGCGAUCAUGAAUGUAUAUAUGGCUACCGUUAAAACAAUAUGCUUCAGCUAGGCAAUACUUCCUUUUGUCAAUAUAUAAAUAAUGUGUGUAACAGUUUAAACAAUAUGCUACCCUACCCAGUACAAGUUCUAAAUCUACAUAAAGCACAGUUUUUCUA